GAUAAACGUUGGCGGCGUGCCUAAUGCAUGCAAGUCGCACGAGGGCUCCGGCCCUAGUGGCGGACGGGUGAGUAACACGUACGAAUCUGCCCGGAGGUGGGGGACAACUUCCCGAAAGGGAAGCUAAUACCGCAUACGGUCUACGGACCAAAGCCGAAAGGCGCCACCGGAGGAGCGUGCGGCGGAUUAGCUAGUUGGUGGGGUAACGGCCUACCAAGGCGACGAUCCGUAGCUGGUCUGAGAGGAUGGUCAGCCACACUGGGACUGAGAUACGGCCCAGACUCCUACGGGAGGCAGCAGCAAGGAAUUUUGCACAAUCGACGCAAGUCGGAUGCAGCAACGCCGCGUGGGGGAUGAAGGCUCUCGGGUUGUAAACCCCUUUUGCGAGGGAAGAAGAUCCGACGGUACCUCGCGAAUAAGUCACGGCUAACUACGUGCCAGCCGCCGCAGUAA
rnacentral:rRNA from 1 species